CAUCACUUCUGGAGUGGGGUAUGACUUAAAUCUAUAUGGCCCCUGGAUUGGACUGCGGCCGAUCAGGCUGUUGGUGAGGUAAUGGCCCACCAAACCUGUAACCGGUACGGGCUCUGAGAGGAGGAGCCCGGAGAUGGGCACUGAGACAAGGGCCCAGGCCCUAUGGGGCGCAGCAGGCGCGAAACCUCUGCAAUAGGCGAAAGCUUGACAGGGUUACUCUGAGUGAUUUCCGUUAAGGAGAUCUUUUGGCACCUCUAAAAAUGGUGCAGAAUAAGGGGUGGGCAAGUCUGGUGUCAGCCGCCGCGGUAAUACCAGCACCCCGAGUGGUCGGGACGUUUAUUGGGCCUAAAGCAUCCGUAGCCGGUUCUACAAGUCUUCCGUUAAAUCCACCUGCUUAACAGAUGGGCUGCGGAAGAUACUAUAGAGCUAGGAGGCGGGAGAGGCAAGCGGUACUCGAUGGGUAGGGGUAAAAUCCGUUGAUCCACUGAAGACCACCAGUGGCGAAGGCGGCUUGCCAGAACGCGCUCGACGGUGAGGGAUGAAAGCUGGGGGAGCAAACCGGAUUAGAUACCCGGGUAGUCCCAGCUGUGAACGAUGCAGACUCGGUGAUGAGUUGGCUUAUUGCUAACUCAGUGCCGCAGGGAAGCCGUUAAGUUUGCCGCCUGGGGAGUACGGUCGCAAGACUGAAACUUAA
rnacentral:rRNA from 1 species